ensembl:lncRNA
UCGGAGCAGUGUUCAUUGUGAAGUCACAGCAACAUGCCCCAACUGCUGGGGCUGCAUCUGGCUGCUGCCACAAAACACUCCGUGCUGAAUAGCUCUCUUCCUGCAUAACUCUUAUUCACAAAACACAAAAAGAACACAAACAACAUUUUCCUUUCAUUUAUUUCUUUCACUACUGUAGGAAGGAUGGACCCAAGCAACUUGGCUUAUGUACGGAACUGUCAAAGGACAUGAGCUUGUACUUUGCUACCGAACCAUCUGACUCUCUGUGUUGCCAUGGGAAGGACUGUAAUGCCAUAAAUUCAGAGAAGU